UACGUAGGGGGCAAGCGUUGUCCGGAAUUAUUGGGCGUAAAGGGCGCGUAGGCGGCUUGGCAAGUGGAUGGUGAAAUCCCUCGGCUUAACCGAGGAACUGCCGUCCAAACUGCUUCGCUUGAGACCGGGAGAGGUGAGUGGAAUUCCCAGUGUAGCGGUGAAAUGCGUAGAUAUUGGGAGGAACACCAGUGGCGAAGGCGACAUCCUGGACCGGUAUUGACGCUGAGGCGCGAAAGCCAGGGGAGCAAACGGG
rnacentral:rRNA from 1 species